GAUGAACGCUGGCGGCGUGCCUAAUACAUGCAAGUCGAGCGAACGGACGAGAAGCUUGCUUCUCUGAUGUUAGCGGCGGACGGGUGAGUAACACGUGGAUAACCUACCUAUAAGACUGGGAUAACUUCGGGAAACCGGAGCUAAUACCGGAUAAUAUUUUGAACCGCAUGGUUCGAAAGUGAAAGACGGUCUUGCUGUCACUUAUAGAUGGAUCCGCGCUGCAUUAGCUAGUUGGUAAGGUAACGGCUUACCAAGGCAACGAUGCAUAGCCGACCUGAGAGGGUGAUCGGCCACACUGGAACUGAGACACGGUCCAGACUCCUACGGGAGGCAGCAGUAGGGAAUCUUCCGCAAUGGGCGAAAGCCUGACGGAGCAACGCCGCGUGAGUGAUGAAGGUCUUCGGAUCGUAAAACUCUGUUAUUAGGGAAGAACAAACGUGUAAGUAACUGUGCACGUCUUGACGGUACCUAAUCAGAAAGCCACGGCUAACUACGUG
rnacentral:rRNA from 1 species